AUUGAACGCUGGCGGCAGGCCUAACACAUGCAAGUCGAGCGAGCGGCGGACGGGUGAGUAAUGUAUGGGCAUCUGCCCGAUAGAGGGGUAUAACUACUGGAAACGGUGGCUAAUCCCGCAUACUAUCGGAUGCACCCACAUGGGAUUAGCUAGUAGGUGGGGUAAAGGCUCACCUAGGCGACGAUCUCUAGCUGGUCUGAGAGGAUUAACAGCAACACUGGGACUGAGACACGGCCCAGACUCCUACGGGAGGCAGCAGUGGGGAAUAUUGGACAAUGGGCGCAAGCCUGAUGCAGCCAUGCCGCGUGUAUGAAGAAGGCCUUCGGGUUGUAAAGUACUUUCGUCAGGGAGGCGUUACCCGCAGAAGAAGCACCGGCUAACUCCGUGCCAGCAGCCGCGGUAAUAC
rnacentral:rRNA from 1 species